CCUCCAGGUGGCUCUCCUGGUCCGUGCAGACGAAGUAGCUGUAAGGGGAGAACCAGGGCCGGUAGAUGGUGCAGUUCCGCCUCAGCUGCUCUCCCUUCUGGGAGUCCCCCAAAAUGCAGUCUGUGGAGGAAAGGGUUGGGUGUGAGCGUGGGGCAGCCCCUGGCCCCCCAGCUUCUCCCACGUGCCCCCCCGCCCCCAGUGCAGAGGAGGCCUCACCUGGAGAGGAGAGCGUGUUCUGCACCCCGUGCCGGAGCACGCUGCCGCGGUACCGGGCUGGCGGGGCCUGAGCCGCGUUGGACGCCUCGGGGGGUGGUGCGCUCUUUGCGAUGUCUGGGUUAUGGAAGAAACGCUCCGGUGAGCCGAGCACGGUUGGGGGUCCUCUUCUUAGCCUCCCCCCCCAUCCCCGCCAGCAUACCUACAGGCUCUACCUUGGGACUUUGUGACCGUGCAAAGCCGAAGAACAGAGCCUCUUUUGCACCCAGAUAAGCAGAACUAUUCUGGAUGGUGAGCCGGGGAGUUCCAGGGGGGCAUUCGCCAGGCGGUCUGGGGGGGAUUCUCUCCAAGGGAGACUUUCAGAGGCGGACCACAUGACCCCUUUCUGCCGGGCCCAUCCUUCCCUUGACCUUCCUGCUGCUCGCUCUGUGUGUGUCUGUCUGUCUGUCUGCCUGCAUUCCAGCCUAUGGGGUCCACGGGAGGGAGUCUAGUCAUGGACCACGCAGCUACGUUCUGUGGCCCCUUGGGGGACGAGGGGCUAGUUUCUCCCAUUGAAACGUCUCCCACCCAGAGCCAGGGAGCGUACAGGGGACCCUAGCUGCGUGCAACACCCCGAUGACUGCUAACGCUUGACAGAAAGCCAGCUUGCUUCAGACCCCGGGGCGGUGCCAGCGCCGAGCUUGGCAAAUGACUGUGUGAGGGUCCCCUGUGCAGGCACAUGCGUGUUCAGGAGAGCCGGCUCCUCCACAGAGCGGCCGCCUCAAGCUCUAAUGUGCACACUUCUCCAGAAACCAGCUGGCAGUGUUGUUACACACGUAGGUUCUGGUUGGGCAGGUCCGAGGGGGUGCGGGUCAGGGGCAGCCCGAGAUCCUGCAUUUUAACGGGCUCCCAGGGGAUGCCCACACCUUGAAUAGCAAGUCCUAGGAGCAUCCGCAUUGAUUCCACGCUGUGCUUGCUCCCCAGGGACCCUGCCCCUUAGGAUCCCGCUGAGGGAUUCGUGAGCUGCCUCUCCUCCGGCUUGCCAAAACAGGGCUAAACUAGCACCUGCUCUACAUAGACGGCACCCGAAAGUCUAGAGUGGAGGCGGGGCGGGGGGGGACUUGAUAGCAAAUGUUUUCCCCCCGUCCUUCCCUUGCCAGAAGUGCAUAAUGCACCAGGAACUACUUACCAUGAACGCAGCAUUUUGAAAAAUUAUUUUCUCCCCAUGUGUAAUUUGACUUUCUCACUAAAUCAUAGUCCUGCAACGUGAUCUCGUAGAGUACACAAUUAAAAGCCUUCCAAAAAAAACCCACACUUUUGUGGCCCUAGUGGCACCAGUGUUUACCUGGCAAGCUGGUGGCACGUGAGGACAUAAUGUCAGGAAAAGCACUCAGGGCUGAGGAGGAGAUUCGAGGUCCAGAAAUGCUGAGGAGUGAGAAGUUCUCCAUGUUCUGACUACUGUAGGGUGUGGAGAUCGCACAUCGGCUCCCAAGAGGUUGGUUUGGGUUGUCCAGACGAACAUUCUGAGCACAGCUGACAUCACAAGGUCACGGGAUUCCACUCGCUGGCCAGGCCAUCCCUUUUGCAAAGACGGAUGGAGUCUCUUAAACUUUGUAAAGAUUUUUUUUUUUUCCGACUUGUCAUUUUCCUCAUUGGAAUACCCAGGGGGGAGGGAGCAUGUGGCCGAGGCAUGACUGCGAUGUAACCCGCUGACCCCGCCCCGUUGAUCUUUUGCUGUCAUUUUUGUGUCCUUGCCGUCAUUCCCCCACCCCCACUCUGGGGACCCCUGUCCUCCCGGAAUAAACGUCUUGCGUUGCUUCACCUUCAUCCGCCUACCCUCUGCCAUCAUCAGAUGGUUUUGUUCUUUCUGUUUUUAAAAAGCUUGGGGUGUGAUUUUCACAUUUUCUUUGGAAGUCGUUGCAAAGUCACAAAAAGUCGCAGCGCUAAAAUUCAUACAGAGAACACCCCUGCGUUCUGCAUCCCGGCUUUCCUCUCGUUAACAUCUUACCCCGUUUGCUUUAGCGUUUCCCUCCGUCCGCCCCAUACGUCGUUUUCUGAGCCAUUCAAAGGUAAGUUGCAGGCGUCAUGUCCCUUUGUGCCUAAAUGACUUCAGUGAGUUCUUCCUAAGAGUAGGGACCUGAUAAUGUUUUAAAUGGUCAGUGCUAUUUUUUAGCAAAUGACUAAAACACGCAAAUGGGGGGCUCACCCCGCACCAUUUUGCUCCUUAGAAGCCGUUUGCUGGGGAGACUGAAUGCCAGAGCGGCAAGACUGCCUCUUGUCUCUGCUUGGCUUCUGUCCUGUGACGCCCUAGCACCCUAGGAGGGCUGCGGAGCAAAGGUGAAAGGUGACCGUGCCACUCUGGAGCGAGGCCCCGCUCUAGAACAUCGCGACAUGUACACACUGGGUACCUAGGGCACCUGGGAUCUCAAUGCGUGUGUGCUUGUGCUGCGUGGGAAGAGGUGGCCCGGCCCGCCUCUUCCAGCCCGUGGGUGCGUGAGUGACCAGCUGCGUGUGAGAGCCCAGCCGGUUGGAGAUCGAGAUCCACAGUAUGGAGAACCUCAUCCCCUUGUGGGCCUCCCCCUGAGCCUGGUUUGGAAGCUUAGAAUGAGCUGGAAUGUAACUGACACUAUGGACGUUGGCGACGUUGAUGUGGACCACGGCAUGUUCGAGAACCUGAACGCGGCCCACGCUCCCAGGCUGCAGCCCGGCUGCUCCUUCCCCCACCCGUCCAGGCUGGCGGCCACCCAGGGGCCUGUGGAGCCCGGCGGGCCGGGGCCCCGGGUGGGCGGCAGCCAGCACCUCAGGAACCUGGGCAGAGCCGUGGGGGCCAGAGUUAACGACUUCCUGCGGAGGAAGGAGCCCUCGGGCCUGGACGGGGCGGGCGCCAUGGAGAUCAACAGGACGGCGGGGGCCCAGCUGGCCGGCGGGGCUGCGGGGGACGAGAACAGGUGCACCCAGCAAGACGCAUUCCCUCGGCUGGAUCCUCCGCCUCCCACCGCCAGGAAGCGAACCCCACGGGCCCUGAAGACCACGCAGGACAUGCUCAUCUCGUCGCAGCCCGUCCUGAGCGGUCUGGAGUAUGGGACCGAGCUGGCUCCUGGGCAGCCCCGGGACACGCUGCCCGCCGCCCCGCCGGAGGCCCCCGUGGAAACGGCGGGUGGGGGCGAGGCCCUGCCCAACGGAGAGGUUUCGCUGUCGGUGCCCGACCUCAUCCACCAGGACAGCCAGGACGAGCCCAGGCUGAAGAUGACCGAGUGCAGGAGGGCCUCCUCCCCAGGGCUCCUCGAGAGGAACGGCCUCAAACUCAGCCUGAGCCCCCUCCACCUGGCCGAGCCCCCGGGGGCCGGUGCUCCUCGGGCACGGACCUCCAGCCUUGACAAUGAGGGCCCCCACCCAGACCUGCUCUCCUUUGAGGGUCCUGUCGUGCUGUCUUCCUGUGGCCGGGAGACCCUGUCGGGGGGUGAUCCCAACCCUGGGGGCCUUUGCAGCAAGAAGAAAGCAUCCCUUUUGUUGAACAGGGUGGCUGGCUCCCCUGGAGAAGGCCGGCGCGGCACAUCCAGCCGUGGUCGGCUGCUGGGCCGUCUUGCUCACGGGCUUCCUGCAGCCUCUCUCUUGUCCAUCAGUCGGCUCCCCUGACCCCGACCCUUCCCGCUGCAUCCCACCCCUCACCUUUGCCGUGUGACAUCUCCACGCUAGGUCCCACAGACUGGUGGAGGGUGGGUGGGAUCUUCAGGGUACCAGCGCCCGCCCCACCCUCCUGCACCUGCAGCCACGCCACCUCGCCCACCUUGCCCACCUCGCCCCGUCUGCCCCAUCCACCCCAUCCGCCCCAUCCGCCCCGUCCUGCAGCCUGUCUUCCGUUGCUCUGGAAAGCAAGGCUCCUGCACGUGCCCACAGCAAGGCCUUGCAUCCCUUGCCCAGGAGAGGCUGUGCUUGCCAGGCACCCUGCAGGCCGGGGCACAGUGAGCAGGGCGGUCACUGAAGGUCUAGGUCCCGCCUGACCCCAAGGGCACGAGGACGACGGGUUAUCCCACCCCGGGGCUCAGUUCCUGGGACUGGCGUCCGGGAUCCCAUGAGUUCCCUGCGGGGCUUGGAGUGUCGCACCGCACGCAGAGCUGGGGGUGGGGGCCGAGAAUCUGAAGCUGUAGCCGGGAGCUGGCGGGGUUCCCCGUGAGCUCCUGUGCUGGAAGCCCAGUUCGCGUCUCCGGCGGGACAUCGAGCAGAGCCUUGCCCUCCGGGGCUGCUCCCCCCGAGCUCAGGGUGGCCCCGGCCAGGUGAUAUGGGAGCUUGCACACGGCCCGCGGGCCCAAGCUGGCUUUGCGCCCUGCCCUCCGCGCCGCACCCAGCCACUGCUGAGGUCCCGGCCCUCGGACUCAGGGUCAGGACGGGGGCCCCAGGCAGUCCCAGGCCCGUGGCUGGGGUGACGCUGGAGUGCCUCAGACGGUGUCUGACACCACACGGGGGCCGCGGGACCCUGCUGCAGCCUCUGGCCUCUGCAUGAUCUCCCUGCCGCCAGCGUCCUCCUUUGGGGAUGAUGCUCCUCCCUCCCCCCAGCCCGGGGGAGCGGGGCUCAAGCUGAAGUCUGGUGCUAGAUGCUGCGGAGGCUGUAGCACGUAGCGGGUGCAGCUAGAUGCUGCGGGUAACGGAUAGCACCUGGAGCAGGGCUGAGCGUGCCCCCCGCGGCAGCGACGACCACCUCGGGCCGGUUGUCUGUCCGGCCCCCCGCCUGGCUUCCGGCGUUUGCCCCCACAGCCUGACCUCCCUGGGGUCACAGGGCAGCAGCCCCCGCCCCCCGUCCACGCACCCACCCCCCUCACACUGAGCCCAGCAUCUCCGGGGCCUUGGCCUCUGGGUGGCCCAGUCAACACGAGCAGGCUAAGGAGAAGCGAGGGCCCCGCCUCCUGGAUCUACGUGAAGCAGCUGGGGGCACCGAGUCUGUUCUCUCCCCGUUACCCCCAAGCCCGCUGGAACCCCGUAGGCAGCGCGAAGCUUCCCCUGAUGAGUCGCAAGUGAGCUUCCAGAACCCGCCAGGGGGCAGGUGCGUCCCCCUGCAGGAGCCAGAGGCACCUGUGUCGCGUAUGUGGGCGGCGCAGAGACAAACCCGCAUCUGAUCCGUCGACUUUGAAGGAAUGGACGGGUUGGCCCCAGUCUGGGAGAGGAAGGGGACGGAUCGGAGCAUUUUCUAGAGAUUUUAUAUUUAUAUUGUUAGUAGUGUUCUGGUAGAGGGAAGCCGCGGAAUAAAACGAUCCGGUUUGGUUCUUGCCGGCUUGGUUUCUCCCGACGGGAAGUGACUUGUUGGGUGGAGGGUGUCUGCACGCUGGGUUUGGAGUGGGGAAGCAUGAGGCGGGUGGGCACUGCCCGCGGACCCCCACUGGAGGCCCCUGGGGGAACUGAUCUCGGGUUGUGCCUUCAUUUGUCCCCCUAAGCAGCCGGCUCCCCACUGUGUGUCCCUCUUCCAGCCCGACCUGUGGCUGUUUCAGGGGCCGCGUGACGUCAGCCUCCUCCUCCUCGGGAGGAAAUGCAAGUGGGCCGCUGGAUGGAACUCGAGGCGGCGACUCACCCUGGGUCUGGCAUCCUCUUCCACCCCUGGGCACACAGGCCGCCUCCAGCGGGACAGGCGCUGCUGAUGGAGGUGCUCCCCCACCCCUGCACCCCACACACUGCGGCAACCCUGAUGCUCACUUGUUGAGAGCGUGUGACUUGGAGGCCAGGUCGGCAUCGAGCCCGGGGACUCAGGCUGAGAAUCCACCAGGCCUCUGAGCACCUUAAAAGGAGGAAGUCGGGAUCCUCAGGUGGCUUAGUGGUUGAGCGCCUGCCUCCGGCCCAGGUCAUGACCCCAGAGUCCCGGGAUCGAGUCCUGCGUCGGGCUCCCUGCAUGGAGCCUGCUUGUCUCUCUGCCUGUGUCUCUGCCUCUCUUUCUCUCUCUCUGUCUCAUGAAUAAAUAACAUCUUUUAAAAAUGGGGGGAGGAAGUGGAGAAGAGAGGGACGGAGCAGAGAAAGGCCUUCACGCUGUCCACAGACGCUACCUGCGUUUUUAAAGGGGGGGAAGGAUGCGGCCUUUCUGCCCAGCGCGGCCCUUUGCCGCCGUGACCAUGCCCGGGUGGUGGAUUCGCAGUUGAGCAGUUGGGUCCCGGGCCCCACGUCGGGAAGGUCUCUGGCAGGAGGCUGCAGCCUUUCCCGUGUGGAACUCACCUCUGGGUUCCUCGACGCGGUGCAAGACGCCGGUGCCCGAGGGUCACCCACUGGCUCUGCAGCGGGGCUCGCCGUGCCGUCUGGGAAGGCGGGAGGGACGCCCAACCCGGUCCAACGCAUCCGUGCCCGGGGGGCGGGGGGCACUGAAAGUACAGCAGCCCCUGUCCCCCGCCCGCAGGCCCCAGCGCCCCUUGUUCAGGGCCCACUCCCCGGGGGGUGGCUCCAGAGGCUUCUGCAGGCACGAAGUCAAAAGGCCUUUCGCGCACCUUUUCCACUGUUGUGCACAGGAGUUACUCGGAGUGACGGGCGGGCGGGGAAAGUCAUGAAGCCCACGAUGGUUUUUUGAGGCAGCGUAAAGGUGGAUGUGCCUCUGGGACCUUGCUGCUGUUCUCCAGGCUGAGCUGAUGGUCCGGAAAGCACGACACCAGGAUGCAUUUGUCCAGCCGACCUGUCGAAGCCCCCGCGUGAGCAGGGUGACGUGGUGGGAAGGGGAUGCCUGGUUCUCUGUCCCCGUGUCACGGUGGCAGGGGGUGAGGACGCCUGGGAGCCUGGCCUGAGCCGCUCCCAGGCCCCCUGAGCAGGGCAUCGAGCAACAGCAGAGGCUCCCAAGGGGGCCAGUGAAUUUCACCUGCAACGGGUCUUCCCCGGGGCCUGAUCUCACUGCAAGUGCCGACCAGAGCCACCAGAGCAGCGGUCACCGGGAGGCCACCUCGCCGUUCCCAGCGGUGGCCCAGCCCGGCCGGUCUCCAGGACUUAAGGAAUGAGCUGGUCCAGGGCUGUGCCUCAGAUGCUGCUCCGGCCUCCAAGAAUUCCUGCUUGUUCAACUUGCUCGCAGGCCCUGGGGCUCCUUUCAGGCCAGCGAAUCCUGGAGGGUUCUAGAACCCUGUGUGCUUUGACUUGGGGUCCCAUCCACCACCCUCCCACCUCCCGUCUCUACCACCGCAGAGCUUUCCAGUCCAGCUGGCAGCUGCCACCGAUUCGGCGAUGGUUCAUCUUUGUGAUUUGGGGCCUCGGGGUCUCGGGGCUCCACUCUCAGCGGGGAGCAUUUGGGGUGCCCCGUGCAGAGCCCCAGCCGCAGCCGCCCUGCCAGCAGGGGCGCGUAAUUAAGCCUGCACAGAGCCCCCGGGCCCGCAGUGGCUCCCCCCGCCCCCGCCGUGUCCUAGGUGCCCACGGCGUCCGCGUCUCCCAUCGCUCCCACGGAAAUGCGCUCCAGAGGCUUUAAUUUCGGUUGUUCAGUGAAAGCAGCUCCGGGGGCUUGGCCCCUGCGACAGGCCCUCCUCCCUGCUGCCGCCGGCCCUGGGGUCCCCGCACUGACUAAUGAGAAAAUUCUUCCGCGUUGAGUAUCCAGGGCUCGUCCCUCCUCGGACACAAAUCCCCUUUGUGUGCAGCUUAUCUCCAGCUGCUGCCAUGAGACCGGGUCCGCCUCGAGGGACCCGCUGGCUCUGCCCCAGGAGCCGGUCCCUCGGUUAUUGCGGGGACGUGAGCUCGAGGAGAGGGUGAAAGACCGACUGGGCCACAGCAGCCUCCCCUCCUCCCCGCCCCGGGAGGUGCCUCAGGAAUGUGUAGCACGGCCAGCAUUUUCUCUUGGGAAUAGGCCAGAAAGGGAAAAAGAAAAAGAAAAAAAAAAAAACCCAAAACGAAAAGCAACCCACCCCAGCAAAAUGCAGCUGGUUUGGUUUGGGUUUUGCUGUGGACCCGGCUGGCCGUCCUCAGGGCCCUGCGCCGCGUCCUCUCCUGCCUGGGCCCCGGCGUGUCCUCGAACUCCCGUGGGCCUGUGCUCCAGCCCAAGUGAGUGUUCGGCCCUCCUGACGGCCGCCCGGCAAGUGUCCCCAGCGGUUGCAGGCACAGGUCACCAGGCCGCCGUGGGCCCUUCGGGAGCAGCCCGGCCUCUGGCAAUGGAUGGCGGGGACCCAGUCGGCCCUGUGACCCGGGCCCCGAGCCCGCGGCGGGCAGCCCCGGUUGUGGGGAGGGGUACCGCAGAGUCUGGCCUCUGGCUGCCCCAGGCCCAGGGAGAUCAUUUCCGUCCACCCUCCCUGCCCAGCUGAGGCCCCGGGCCCUCUGUCGGGAGCCGUCGACAGUCCUGGCCGCAGGAGAAUGUUCCUCGGAGCGGGCCGACGGGGGACCCUCCAGGACUGGACGAGGCGCAGGCGGCCUGUGGGGCCGCCGAGCGAUGCCUGCGGGUCUGGCCCGAGCCCUGUUCACUUCGGACGGCGCGGCCCAGGAGCUCGGGAAAGACGGGCCGCGACCUGAACGCCUCGACUCAGGAGUCAAGGAGCUUCGAAUGCAUCUCGGGACAUGUUCCAAGUCUGUCACCCUGCACCCACACACACUCCAGAGCUGGCUGGUGGGGAGCAGACUGGACGGGGCUCUCGCUGAGGGCCGGCCCUUCCUCGGGGCCUCUGCCCACACACGCGCUCCGCACCUGAACUCGGACCCGAGAGGAUUGAGGGAGGCCACAUGCAAAGUGGAGAAUGAUUAACGGGCCGGCGUGUAGGUCAUUUAUCUCCAGCCGGAGCCUCUGUUUAACUCCGUUCCCUGGACAGAUGCCACCUUGCCCCGGGGCCAGCAGAAGCCCACACUCCUGUCCAGCCUCGUGUGACAAGGUGCCUGGGGUCUGCACCUCUGGGUGCUGCUUCUCCGACGGUUGCAUUCCGAUGCUUCGCAUUCACACGUUAUCACUUGGGGCUUUGCUAUUAAUUGGUGCUCUGUUACUAUAUUUCCAAAGCUCCUGUGCAUUCCAGGAAUUUGUGCUAAUCAAUUUGCAUUGAUCCUCUCAUUUGUUUUUCUCAUUAGCCCUGUAAAGAUAGUCCUACGAAGCCCAUUUUUCAGAUACAGUAUCUUACUGCAGGCCAAGAGACUCACACACGUGCUCUCGUUAAUCCUCACAUCCUGUGACAUGGUUAUUUCAGCCCCAUUUUAUUGAUGGGUUUGCUGAGGUUGAGGCAGUGACCACGUAGAGCCUGAGGCUUACAGCCCAUAAAGGGAAGAGCAAGGCCAGGAGGCCCGGGUGUCCAGACCUGAGGACCAGGCACCUUCCUCCACACAUGGCUCUUCUCUGUUCCCAUCACACCAGUCUGGUAAAUCUCAGGAGCCAGUCAGGGCCCAGAAAUGACUUUUUGAGAUUUGGCCCUUCUCCGGGGGUGAAUGCAAUUUCAUUGAACACUGAAUCUUCAUGUAGACCAGAAAUGGAGAGACCCAUUCACCAGCCCUCUCAUUUCACAGAAGAGGAAAGAGUGAAGACUGUGUUUUUCCCAAGUUCUCCUGCGCUGGCAGUGGUCUGAGUCCCCACAAUACCCUGUGCAGUGAGAAUUACUACCGCACUCUCCAGGUGAGGCUGACCAGAGGCCAAGGGGGUGUCACCAACCUGCCCAAAGUCACCCCACCAGUAAGGACGGAGCCAAUGCUACUUUCCUUGAAAACAUUCAUUCACAAGGAUUUGGGGUAGGAAUCUGCUCUAGAUUUGCAAGAAUUUCAGCUCCAAGCAGGAGCUGCUGUAACACUUCUACUGCAUUUCAAAUUGCAAACUGACAGGGAAGCUGGCUUGUACACUAAUCCUGUUAUCGACACUGGAGAUUAAACAUUCAAAUGAGAGGUAUUAUUCCAA